AUGAAUUGUUGCUGUAUCAGCAGUGGCCAGGAAAUUUUCCUGACAUGCUAGAAAAACAUCCGCAGAAACAAAUAUUUACAAUAUGAUUUUUAAAAAGAAUUUUUGAACACUGUUCCCAGGGAUGUAUGUGUGGGUGUGGUACAGCGGGAAGCAGAUGAAAAAGGGAAUCCUUUAUCCAUACAUAGCGCUGACAAUUAUGGCUAAAUGUAGGAUUUACAGCUGAACAUAUUGUUUGGUUUUGUUUUGGCAGCAAAUCCAGAUGAUAGGGUAUUAUGUUGAUCUUCUGAUAGCUAGGAUUACCUAUGAACUGCUGGCUCAGAACAGAGCUCAUUUCUAUGAAACAGCAAGCACUGACCACUGCCUGAGGCAGUCUUCUAGAUGAGCUGAGGAAUGCAGAAGCCAAGAAGUGACUGGUGGAGUAAUGCAAAGAGGGGACCAAGAACAGAGCUCAAAUCUCCCAAAACUCAGCCACUUCAUUUGUUUCUCAGGAUAGCACAAACCGCCCCCUCCAAACAUUUCUCAACUGGAAGACCUGCUGUGGAAACCUGCAGCACUAACUACAAUCACAGUUUCCCACAACAUACAGACCUAUGUUAUCAGUGGGUGUGGGAAGAGGACAGUGCUAAUUGUAGGCCCUGCACAUCCUCUCCCUCCCAUGAAGGCUCCCAAGAAGGCUGUGGUGUCUGUCCCUACAGAUGCACUUUUCCUACCUUUCUGUGGCAACCACACUGGAAGCUGAAUUGAUUUAUGCAGUUCCAGAAAGAAUUCAACAUGGAGCAGCCUUAAAAGGAUUAAUCUCAGGGCUUUAGGUCAGCCUUAUGUCCUUUCUUAUACCUCUUUUUACACAGAGUUCACCUGUAGUGUUUCUCACAACGGCAAAUAGUGGAUAGUCUGACUAGCAUAAGAGAGUCACAGGCCUAUACCACUAAGUGGAAACAUGAAAAUACUUCAAGAUAAAGAGUAAUUACAGAAAAACCCUCCUUUUGUCUUUCUUAUGCCUCUGGAGGACUCCUGACAUGACGUAAGUGUACUUUCUCUCUGACCUGCUGCCACCCAGGUGAGGUACAUAGAGACGAAUUUCACUUGUAAGGCAGACAUCUGACCUG